AGAGUUUGAUCCUGGCUCAGGACGAACGCUGGCGGCGUGCCUAACACAUGCAAGUCGAACGGAGAAUUUCAAUAAGUUUACUUAGAGAAAUUUUUAGUGGCGGACGGGUGAGUAACGCGUGGGUAACCUACCCAUAAACCCGGGACAACCCUUGGAAACGAGGGCUAAUACCGGAUAAUCUUAAUGAGUGGCAUCACUUUUUAAGAAAAGGUGGCCUCUGAAAAUGCUACCGAUUAUGGAUGGACCCGCGUCUGAUUAGCUAGUUGGUGGGGUAAAGGCCUACCAAGGCGACGAUCAGUAGCCGGCCUGAGAGGGUGAACGGCCACACUGGGACUGAGACACGGCCCAGACUCCUACGGGAGGCAGCAGUGGGGAAUCUUCCGCAAUGGACGAAAGUCUGACGGAGCAACGCCGCGUGUAUGAUGAAGGUCUUCGGAUUGUAAAGUACUGUCUUUGGGGAAGAAUGAUUGGUUUGAAAAUAUUGAGCCAAUAUGACGGUACCCAAGGAGGAAGCCCCGGCUAACUACGUGCCAGCAGCCGCGGUAAUACGUAGGGGGCAAGCGUUGUCCGGAAUUAUUGGGCGUAAAGGGCGCGUAGGCGGAUAAUUAAGUCCGGUGUGAAAGAUCAGGGCUCAACCCUGAGAGUGCAUCGGAAACUGGUAGACUUGAGGACAGGAGAGGAAAGUGGAAUUCCUAGUGUAGCGGUGAAAUGCGUAGAUAUCAGGAGGAACACCGGUGGCGAAGGCGACCACCUGGCCAAAUACUGACGCUGAGGCGCGAAAGCGUGGGGAUCAAACAGGAUUAGAUACCCUGGUAGUCCACGCCGUAAACGAUGAGUGCUAGGUGUCGGGGGUAUCGACCCCCUCGGUGCCACAGCUAACGCAAUAAGCACUCCGCCUGGGGAGUACGGUCGCAAGACUGAAACUCAAAGGAAUUGAGGGGCCCGCACAAGCGGUGGAGUAUGUGGUUUAAUUCGACGCAACGCGAAGAACCUUACCAAGGCUUGACAUCCCGUGACAGCUGUGGAAACACAGUUUUGCAGGUUUACCUGCACACGGAGACAGGUGGUGCAUGGUUGUCGUCAGCUCGUGUCGUGAGAUGUUGGGUUAAGUCCCGCAACGAGCGCAACCCCUACAGCUAGUUGCCAGCACAUAAUGGUGGGAACUCUAGCAGAACUGCCGUUGACAAAACGGAGGAAGGUGGGGAUGACGUCAAAUCAUCAUGCCCCUUAUGUCUUGGGCUACACACGUACUACAAUGGCCUGAACAGAGGGAAGCGAAACUGCGAAGUUAAGCGAACCCCUUAAAACAGGUCCCAGUUCGGAUUGUAGGCUGCAACUCGCCUACAUGAAGUUGGAAUCGCUAGUAAUCGCAGGUCAGCAUACUGCGGUGAAUACGUUCCCGGGCCUUGUACACACCGCCCGUCACACCACGAAAGUCGGCAACACCCGAAGCCGGUGAGGUAACCCGUAAGGGAGCUAGCCGUCGAAGGUGGGGCCGAUGAUUGGGGUGAAGUCGUAACAAGGUA
rnacentral:rRNA from 1 species